rnacentral:lncRNA from 1 species
GCAGUGACUGAAGAGAAUUCUCUCCCGUUUCCCAUGAUUUAUCACAGGCGAGGUCACGGCAGGUUAAAAUACUUGAACGCCGCGAUAGCAUACGUCCUGGCAUGGUUUUAUGAGUAGUCAUUCAUAACAUAUUUGUCGCAAAGCAUAAUUUCCAAGAUAGAACCCUGAUCCACAUGCAGUUUUUUUUUUCACAGCAACAACACAGGCGCAGUAACUCCUUCGUGGAGGCUGCUUCCAUUUUCACAAUGUCCAGCUCCACGCUAGAGCUUCGGGGAAAGGGACCGAGGAAGUGACUGGUUCGCCAACUGAAACUCCCUGGGACAGACAAGACUGGGAGCCUUGGUGAAAGGGAGGAGACCCUGUGUCCCCGGUUUUGCCAAAUCAGCCUGGCCCAUCCUCUGACGGCUAAAUCAACACUCUUUAUCCUGUGGCGACUGAUAACGCAUCCACCGCUUCCUGCCAAGGAGGAAAUCCUGAUGGGACAUUAUCAGGGGCGAGACAUCAUCCGUCAGCCGCCGUCACAGGAACCCAGGGCUCAUCCAGACCCCACGCCAAUCUUUCCGCCUUUAUCUGCGCUCCCCAAAUGCCUCAGCCUGUUUGCUGAUAGAGGAAUCCGGCAUCUCCUCUUCUCAAGGACCCGAAAAAGAUUCUUCGAUAGCAAGAAACUAAGGUGUGGGCUGAGAUAGGGAAACCAUACGUCACAGGAUAAUGCCCCCAGGGCUGGGGCGGCAGGACACCUCGGCCACCCCUGGUGCAGAAGGCAGAGGAGGGUGUAGUCAGCAGGACCCACGGGGAAGAAGCUGAACAGACAAGCCUGCCCAGAGAGCUGUGGUCUUCACACGGAUGCUGCUGGGGUCAGGGGGCCCCAGGGAACAAACACCUGACCUCACGCAAAUCCAUGCUGGAGCUCCCCAUCGGCUGGACAUAACCAAAAGUCAGAGGGCAAACAGAGGCACCUAUGGACGCUGGCUGGAUUGGUCAGCCUGCUGGUCACCGCCCCCACCGCUCCCACCCUCACCCCUGCCUGAAGGAUGGGACAGAGGAAAAUGGAAGAUGAAAAAAAGAAGUUAUCGGAAGAUAUCCAGAAUGGCUGUGAUAAGGCGUAGGGUUUAAUUCUGAGGGCGUGGGGAAGGCCCCCCGGGGAGUUUUGAGCAAAGGAGUACUUUAAACGGAUUUAUGUUAAAAAAAGAUCAAUCUGGGAGUUCCCUGGUGGCUCAGCAGGUUAAGAAUCUGGCGUUGUCACUGUAGCAGCUUGGGUUACUACUGUGUAGCCAUAAAGUUCCAUCCCUGGCUCCAGAACUUUUGCAAGUGCUGGACCAGCCAAAAAAAAAAAAAAAAAAAAAAAAAAAAGAAAGAAAUAAAAAAAGAAAAAAAAAAAA